UAAAGUUUAUAUGAAUGUUGUAUACAGAAUAUCAAAUAUCUUAAAAUAACCCCCGAAGAGGUAACUUCUUUGAAAAGAAUACGACAAGAAGUACUGGAUUAUUUUCUUUUCUUGAUUGGGUAGGAUCUAUAACAAAGUGAGAUCCACUUUUGGCUAUUGUACAUAUAUUUGAGGCAACGUCAUAAUUUUCCAAAGCAAGAAAAGAUCAAUUGCUUUGCAAAGCAAACGUGAAGGAAUGUCAUCAGCAUGAGUUCUAAUAGGUUUGAAGGUUCCUACAGAGAAUACCAUAAAAUGGUGUGUGAAAACUAUGCUACAUCAAGCUUUGCCAGGAAUUCUGUCCACCACACAAAGCAAGUUGAGACUGGCAGACGUUUAUCAAAGAAAAAGUUGCCAAAGGGGUAAUCUCACUCAUCUAAACUCUUCUAAGUCUGUAACCUUUGGUAAUUCCACCAAAGCUCUUUCCAAAUAGGAAGUGAAGAUAAAAACAGCAUUGUUAUCAAAUAGAAGCCAUACAAAAACAAAAUUUUGUCCAAAACUUUCCAAAGAUGUUCAGAAAGGAUGAACUUUUGGUUUCGAGUUAUUGAAGCUCUAUCUUGUCCAGGUUUCGAUGAACUUUUGUCUGCUUAAAAAUUUGUAGAAGAUCCAUCCAUAACCCUCAAACUUAUGGUAGGACUGAUGCAAUGAAAACGAAGUAAUAUGGGCUUGUGGCAGUAAUAUCCUAGAGCCAUUUAACAAGAGAAAAAGAUCAAGAACUAUCUUACUUGGAGUGUCAGAGCACUGGUGUGUUUAGUAACCAAAAAAUUCAACAGGUUUGCUGAAUAAGCCAUGACUGAAUUCAAUAAUAGAAGAAGCC
rnacentral:lncRNA from 1 species